CCUACGGGUGGCAGCAGUGGGGAAUAUUGGACAAUGGGGGGAACCCUGAUCCAGCCAUGCCGCGUGUGUGAAGAAGGCCCUCGGGUUGUAAAGCACUUUCAGUGAGGAAGAACGCCUGGUGGUUAAUACCCAUCAGGAAAGACAUCACUCACAGAAGAAGCACCGGCUAACUCCGUGCCAGCAGCCGCGGUAAUACGGAGGGUGCGAGCGUUAAUCGGAAUUACUGGGCGUAAAGCGCGCGUAGGUGGCUUGAUAAGCCGGUUGUGAAAGCCCCGGGCUCAACCUGGGAACGGCAUCCGGAACUGUCAAGCUAGAGUGCAGGAGAGGAAGGUAGAAUUCCCGGGGUAGCGGUGAAAUGCGUAGAGAUCGGGAGGAAUACCAGUGGCGAAGGCGGCCUUCUGGACUGACACUGACACUGAGGUGCGAAAGCGUGGGUAGCAAACAGGAUUAGAUACCCGUGUAGUC
rnacentral:rRNA from 1 species